UGGGGGAUAACGUAGCGAAAAGUUACGCUAAUACCGCAUAUUCUGUGAGCAGGAAAGAGGGGGGAUCGCAAGACCUCUUGCUUUAGGAGCGGCCGAUGUCGGAUUAGCUAGUUGGUGAGGUAAAGGCUCACCAAGGCGACGAUCCGUAGCGGGUCUGAGAGGAUGAUCCGCCACACUGGGACUGAGACACGGCCCAGACUCCUACGGGGAGGCAGCAGUGGGGUAAUUUUGGACAAUGGGCGCAAGCCUGAUCCAGCCAUGCCGCAUGAGUGAAGAAGGCCUUCGGGUUAGUAAAGCUUCUUUCGGUGGGGAAGAAAUUGCUUCGGUUAAUACCUGGAGUAGAUGACGGUACCCGCAUAAGAAGCACCGGCUAACUACGUG
rnacentral:rRNA from 1 species